AAUCUCGACCAGAAAAGAUGCAACAUUAUUAUUUAGACGCUUGACAAAAUCAAACGUUUGUAUGAUUCUGAUGCACAGCACAAUUAUAAUCGUUCACCAAUUUUGAGAAGGUAAGAUUAUUAUUUGGACGCUUGAAAAAGGAAACGUUUGUCUGCCGAAGAUAAUCACGUGACUCAAGGCCAUGUGCUAGUAUCAACAGUGCGGCAGUGCCAGUGAAAGUCAGGCGGUAUGCCGGAGCAACAAAGAGUCUUGAUUUUUAGAGGCAGGUUUUAAAGAAAGAAAUCAGUGUUAUAAAGAAAGAAAAAGAUUUUCCACUCAAAGAAUUAUGGAUAACACAGAGGGUUCAGGAACCAUAAAUUUGAUGUUGGAGUCUUAACUUCACCCUGAUAGACUUUGAGCACGUCAUAAGUUUAAGACCUAUGGACAAAAAUCUUGCAAUGGGAAGAUAACACAGCCUUGAUAAAAAUCAGAGAAAUCUCGAUAGAAGAGUGUGCUGGUCUGGACAAAAAAAUUGCAAUGUGAAUAACUUUGAAGAAAGAAGAGUCUUGGCGAAUUUCAGAGAAUUCUUGAUGAAAGAAUGCAUGUGUUGUUCCUGAUUAAUUUAUACAUGAAAUUUGUCCUUUUGACAUCAUUUGACACUCCAUUUGAAGUGAUGCAUUUUUGAUAAAUUUCUAUUUGAAAUAUGUCCAUUUGAUACUCCAUUUAAAAUGUCACAGCCAUGUCUCAGUUUGCCGCUGAUGAACUAGGAUCUGCAUGUUUUAAAAAAAAACUUGAAUUUCUGCAUUUAUAUUGAUUGAAUUUAUUAGCUCACCUGAGCCGAAGGCUCAAGUGAGCUUUUCUGAUCAAAAUUUGUCCGUUUUCUCUCGUUGUCAUUGUAAACUUUAAUAAUUACAAAAUAGCGAAAAUUUAAUGGCACCAUUAAAAAAUCUUCUUCUCUUGAACCAAUGAUCCAGGAAAGAUGAAACUCACAUGGAAUCAUUGUCAGGUAGUGUAGAUUCAAGUUUGUUCAAAUCAUGACCCCCUGGGUGUAGGGUGGGGCCACAAUGAAUGUUCAAACUUUUAGGAAAAAAAGGUCACAGUCGAAGAAAAUAUGUAAGCAUCCUUAGUUACAUGUAGUGUAGAUUCAAUUUUGUUCAAAUCAUACUCCCCCUUUUUAGGGGUAGGUCGGAACCACUUGUGCAUUUAAGCUUUUACAUACUAAACUGAUUUUUGCUUUUUUCCUAGCCACAGUACUCAGGUGAGCGAGGUGGCCCCUGGGCCUCUUGUUAAAGUUGUAUAUAUGUAUACCAAAAUAAUCGAGGCAUUUGCUAUUUGAAUAUUUUGCAAAUAGUUUCUUUGCCAUUUUCCUGAAAGUAAUUUGCACAUUUAUUUUAUUUAAAGUUAUCUGGUAAUGAUGUGUUAUUAACCUACCCAUUUGGUGACAAGAGGUACAUUAUUAUAUUGUAAUAUUUACUCAUUGUCGAAAAAUCAAGACCAAAAAUUGCCACUCAGGGCGGGGUGGGAGAUGGAAUGUACUAAAAUUAUAUGAAAAUGGAUAAUAAAUUGUGAUGAUUUU